rnacentral:rRNA from 1 species
CCUACGGGUGGCAGCAGUGGGGAAUAUUGGGCAAUGGGCGCAAGCCUGACCCAGCAACGCCGCGUGAAGGAAGAAGGCUUUCGGGUUGUAAACUUCUUUUCUCAGGGACGAAAAAAGUGACGGUACCUGCGGAAUAAGCCACGGCGAACUACGAGCCAGCAGCCGCGGUAAUCCGUAGGUGGCAAGCAUUAUCCUGAUUUAUUGGGUGUAAAGAGCGAGUAGGCGGGAGAGCAAGUCAGAUGUGAAAACUCAGGGCUCAACCCUGAGCCUGCAUUUGAAACUGUGUUUCUUGAGUGCUGGUGAGGCAAGCGGAAUUCCGGGUGUAGCGGUGAAAUGCGUAGAUAUACGGAGGAACACCAGUGGCGAAGGCGGAUUGCUGGACUGUAACUGACGCUGAGGCGCGAAAGCGUGGGGAGCAAACAGGAUUAGAUACCCCAGUAGUC